GAUGAACGCUCGCGGCUGGCCUAAUACAUGCAAGUCGAACGGGUGGUCGCAAGACCACUAGUGGCGCACGGGUGCGUAACGCGUAACCAACCUGCCCCGAUCUGGGGGAUAGCCCGCCGAAAGGCGGAUUAAUACCGCAUAUACCCGCAGCCUGGCAUCAGGCAACGGGGAAAGAUUUAUUGGAUCGGGAUGGGGUUGCGUGACAUUAGCUAGUUGGCGGGGUAAGGGCCCACCAAGGCGACGAUGUCUAGGGGACCUGAGAGGGUGAUCCCCCACACUGGCACUGAGAUACGGGCCAGACUCCUACGGGAGGCAGCAGUAGGGAAUAUUGGGCAAUGGGCGAGAGCCUGACCCAGCCAUGCCGCGUGCCGGAUGAAGGCCUUCUGGGUUGUAAACGGCUUUUCUCAGGGAAGAAAAAGACCUUGCGAGGUACACUGACGGUACCUGAGGAAUAAGCACCGGCUAACUCCGUG
rnacentral:rRNA from 1 species